rnacentral:lncRNA from 1 species
CGCAGUCAGCCGCCUGGGCGCCGAAAGCUGCUUCCUACUCCCAGUGCCGAGCGGGCCCCAGCUACUGAGCAUGCCCAGCGCAACGACGGGAGCCAGAGGAUAGCAGAGGACUUGAAGCUGCGGUUAGGCACUGAUUUCCCUUCCUAGGGGCCUAGCGUGAAAUGGAAAGGAACUAGUCAAGAGAAAGGAGGGCCCUCUAAAAAUAGUGUUCACACUGAGAACAUUGCAGGGACAGAGCACGAUUUGAAUGAACCACCACGAUAGAAUAAAAGCACAUAUGUUAGAGAAGCCUGAAAGGUGGUAAACUACCCAAAAACAGCACAGAAGAGGAAAUACAUGCUCCCAGACAGGGUGGACAAGGAGCCCUAAGGGUCAUUGGUCUCUCUUGGAAGCUAACACAUGAAAGAAACCACUACUGUCCUGCAAGGAUUUUUCCACUGAUUAUGAACCAGACACCUCACCAAGUACAGCUCUAGGGCUGAUCUCACUGCACCUAUAUUCCUUUGUUUUUACCUUCCUGGGACGCACAGAUAGCUUGGUGUUUGG